UACAGAGGGUGCGAGCGUUGUCCGGAAUCACUGGGCGUAAAGGGCGCGUAGGUGGCCCGACAAGUCAGUGGUGAAAGCUCGACGCUCAACGUCGAGUCGGCCACUGAUACUGUCGAGCUGGAGCACUGUAGAGGCUAAUGGAAUUCCGGGUGUAGCGGUGGAAUGCGUAGAGAUCCGGAAGAACACCGGUGGCGAAGGCGGUUAGCUGGGCAGUUGCUGACACUGAGGCGCGACAGCGUGGGGAGCAAACAGG
rnacentral:rRNA from 1 species